UAUGGGUCUGCCGGGCAGGUAAGUGAAUCCCCUUGAACCUGUAUGAAGAAGGGCCAUGAAGGCAUGACAGCUUCCAAGUCAGACUCCUCCUCGAAGGUCACUGCAAGUAUCCCACGCCCAGUCUGUGGACCGGGGCAGCAGGAGGGGAACGCAGAUGCGGAUGGAGCUCACUGGGAAGCCCACGCUGAGUUCAUUUGGUAUGGGACAACUGGGUCACCGGGGCCUCUGCAGUCUCUCGGUGCAGCAUCCCCUCCUGUCGGGGCCACCACACUGCUGUUCAAGGACACCUGUG